GUGAAUCAUCGAAUCUUUGAACGCAAAUUGCGCCUCCUGGUAUCCUGGGGAGUAUGCCUGUUUGAGGGUCAGUUUUAAUAAAAAAUCGGGUUAGUUGCAAGUUGUGACGUUUACGGAGUUUGGGCUAACUUAACAUUUUUGGUUAAGAGGUUUAAAAGUGACCUUUUUUGCGCAUUUGUAAAUGUACAUAAAUUUUGUCUAUUCGUCAAUCCUAAAUGCCAAAAUCUUAUU
rnacentral:misc_RNA from 1 species